GAACGGAGUUUGGAAGAGCGUGGUUCGCUCAGCAUCUCGCCCUCCCGAGGACAGUGCGCUGCUCUGCUAAGAGAGGAGCUGGGUCUCACCUGCACCUGCCCGUCCUUUCCCUUAAAAACAGCAGAUUGCGUUUGUUUUGGUGUCUUCCCCUUCCUACGAUAAUUGAUGUUUGUUUUGUUCCUUGAAACUGCACACUUCCCCAAGAUCAAGCUGUUUUCUUUCUGGCUUCGGUUACUUACCUCCGAAGAAGUUCGAGAGGCACUAAACAAACACUCAGCUGGAGAGAACACCAUCCUUGUGGGACCUGUUCUUUUUAAGAAUCCAAGCACAAGGUCACUUUCUGAAUGGGAUACAAAGAGCAGCAUUCUGCAGAAUGGAGAGGUCACCGUUUACGGCGCUCCAUCAAGCCCAGAGCUCACCUAUUAUACUGAUCUCGGUGGCCAGCUUACUCUGUGGAUCCAGACUCUACAGGACCAGGCUGAAAUAUGACUUGUUCUGCCAAUCUAGAGUUACAAUCUAGGAUUCCGGAGGGAGAUCCAUCACUCUGGGGUCAGAAUCCAGGCCCUCUCGCCUACGUGAAAAGUGCCUUUCCAUAGCUGGCUGAGAGAAGUCCCUGCUUUGUGUUUUGGAUGGUAGAAGAAGAGCACUGCAGGCUUUGAAAGACCUGGGCUCUUGCUCGCUGUUGAGAGAAUCCACAGAAGGCUCCGGUGGAGAAGCCAUCACUUGGAAAGCUCCUCACUUGAGCCUCAGUUGGCUCAGUCCUGUGUCAUUCUGGGAGCUGUGUACGUUUGUUCUUUUUCUGAACCAUAGAUUCUGACACAGUAUUUUGCAAGUUCUUAAUCUUUUUAUUCCUAAAGACUGACAGGCAUUUGGAAAAGUUAACAAUUCUGUGAGAAUGAAUAGGCUUAUGUCCAAAAGCAGGUUUGUUUGUUUGUUUGUUUGUUUGUUUGUUGGUAUCCUAUUUUUAAGAUGACUGUUCCAAGAGCAUGAGCCUAAUGUUCAAAAGGUGUAAGAGCUUUGGCCUUGAGACCCUUGUGGGUUUUCAUUUUGUCACCAGUGUUUGGGUUUCCUGGAGACAAUCACUUAGGUGAUGCCAUCUUGUAAUAUAAGGUCCAGAGGAUUUAAUAAGGGAAAGGCUCUUUAAUAAUUAUAGCUUCUAUGACAUCCAAUCAUAUUUUAUCAAAUGUCUCUUUUCCUCAUCACUUGUGGUCCAUUUUAAAGACAAACUGAAGGGCGAUUGUCUUGUAAAUGAUCUUUGUAUCCUUCAUGGUCUCAUAUGAUCUAAGUAGUCACUGGCAAGAAUUCUCCAGGUUUUUUGUUUGGUUGGUUGGUUUGGUUUUUUUUUUUCUUUCUGUUUUUUUGUGUUUCUUUCACUGAUAACUUGUUUUAUAUUCAAGUACCUGUUAGACUAUGAACACAACCUCAUAAUCCAUAAAACAACAUUUUAUGGCACAAUGGAAGUGAAAUGAAUGGAAGCAAAAAUGAAUAUUUAUUUUAUAGCAUGAAUGUUGGUUUUAUCCCAUGUCUUGGCAUGUUUUCUCAUAUAUCUAUAACUCUGUAGAAGAUAACCUGCCAGAAGUUGGCAUUUCUUUGUAAAGCCAUACACAAAUGCAAUUGAAAAACCAAAGCCUUUUGUGCUAAAUGGAUGUGGUGACCACACCUGUAGCCACAGCACUGAAAAUGCAGAAGGAUAAUGAGCUGGAGGUUUGCCUGGACCGCCCCAUCCAUCCCUGUAUCCCAUCUUGGGAUCUCAGUGUGAAGGCCACCCUAGAAUGACCUUUCAGGGUACCCAAGUGCAUCCCCUGUUAAAUAAUUGUAUAUGCAGCACUCUCACUACACGACAGUCCUGAUCUUGGGUUGUUUAGAAACAUUCUCUUUGCAUUGGGGAAGUAUAAACUCGCCCAUCUGUGUGACAAUUCAGCACCAGAAUGGUGUGGGACAAGUUAGGUGGUGUCUGUUUCUGUAAAUGACAUAUUGAUGUUCCAGCCAAACAUAAUUAAUUUAAAAGACCUCAUAAGGUGUGAAGUGUAUCCUUAGCCCCCAAGACCCAUGUCCUUACAAGAAAGAACUGUCUCCCGUAAGUUGUUUUCUGAUGCACACAUAUGCACUACCCAUACACACAAAUUAAUUAAUUCACAUUUUAAAAGAAAUGAGUAUUAAAAUGAGGGUUUUUUUUGUAAUUAAAAACCUGCUGUGUAGUAAAUGU